rnacentral:rRNA from 1 species
GAUGAACGCUGGCGGUAUGCUUAACACAUGCAAGUCGAACGGACUCUUCGGAGUUAGUGGCGGACGGGUGAGUAACGCGUGAGAAUCUGGCUUUGGGUUCGGGACAACCACUGGAAACGGUGGCUAAUACCGGAUGUGCCGAGAGGUAAAAGAGAAAUUGCCUGAAGGUGAGCUCGCGUCUGAUUAGCUAGUUGGUGAGGUAAAGGCUCACCAAGGCAGCGAUCAGUAGCUGGUCUGAGAGGAUGACCAGCCACACUGGGACUGAGACACGGCCCAGACUCCUACGGGAGGCAGCAGUGGGGAAUUUUCCGCAAUGGGCGAAAGCCUGACGGAGCAAUACCGCGUGAGGGAGGAAGGCUCUUGGGUUGUAAACCUCUUUUCUUAGGGAAGAACAAAAUGACGGUACCUAAGGAAUCAGCAUCGGCUAACUCCGUG